GAAUAUUGGACAAUGGGGGAACCCUGAUCCAGCCAUGCCGCGUGUGUGAAGCAGGCCUUUUGGUUGUAAAGCACUUUACGCGAGGAGGAGACUACUCUUGUUAAUACCUAGGGAUAGUGGCCGUUACUCGUCGACUAAGCACCUGCUAACUCUGUGCCAGUAGCCGCGGUAAUACAGAGGGUGCAAGCGUUAAUCGGAUUUACUGGGCGUAAAGCGCGCGUAGGUGGCCAAUUAAGUCAAAUGUGAAAUCCCCGAGCUUAACUUGGGAAUUGCAUUCGAUACUGGUUGGCUAGAGUAUGGGAGAGGAUGGUAGAAUUCCAGGUGUAGCGGUGAAAUGCGUAGAGAUCUGGAGGAAUACCGAUGGCGAAGGCAGCCAUCUGGCCUAAUACUGACACUGAGGUGCGAAAGCAUGGGGAGCAAACA
rnacentral:rRNA from 1 species